rnacentral:rRNA from 1 species
GACGAACGCUGGCGGCGUGCUUAACACAUGCAAGUCGAACGGACAGGCCCUGCUUUCACUGUGCUCGAGUUGCGAACGGGUGAGUAACUCAUGGGUGGUCUGCCCCUUACUUUGGGAUAAGCCUGGGAAACUGGGUCUAACACUUGCUAGGACCAUUCUUUAGCCGGAUUGGUGGAAAGAUUAGUUCCGUUAAGGGGUGAGCUCUCGGUGCAUCAGCUCGUUGGUGGGGUAUUGGCCUACCAAGGCGACGACGGGUAGCCGGCGUGAGAGGGUGAACGGCCACACUGGAGGUGAGACACGGUGCAGACUCAGACGGGAGGCAGCAGUAGGGAAGGUGCCGCAAUGGGCGAAAGGCUGACGGAGCAACGCCGCGUGAGUGAUGAAGGUCGUCGGAGCGUAAAACUCUGUGAUUAGGGAAGAACAUAUGGGGAAGUAACUGUGCACAGCUUGACGGUACCUAAUCAGAAAGCCACGGCUAACUACGUG